GUCUAUGGCCAUACCACCUUGAACGUGCCUGAUCUCGUCUAAUCUCAGAAGCUAAGCAAUGUCGGGCCUGGUUAGUACUUGGAUGGGAGACCUACUGGGAAUACCGGGUGCUGUAGGCC
ensembl:rRNA 5S_rRNA 5S ribosomal RNA